ensembl:snRNA LOC120103208 U6 spliceosomal RNA
GUGCUCGCUUCGGCAGCACAUAUACUAAAAUUGGAACGAUACAGAGAAGAUUAGCAUGGCCCCUGCGCAAAGAAGCCAAGUAUUCACUUUCCUAGUUCCAACUAAAU